UUUUUUAGUCUGUGGGGUGCUACAGGACUCUUUGCUGCUUUUACAGAUCCAGACUAACGUAGCUACCCCACUGAUACUUGACAAUCUGUAU